rnacentral:rRNA from 1 species
UACGAAGGGGGGCUAGCGUUGCUCGGAAUUACUGGGCGUAAAGGGCGCGUAGGCGGAUAGUUUAGUCAGAGGUGAAAGCCCAGGGCUCAACCUUGGAACUGCCUUUGAUACUGGCUAUCUUGAGUUCGGGAGAGGUGAGUGGAAUGCCGAGUGUAGAGGUGAAAUUCGUAGAUAUUCGGCGGAACACCAGUGGCGAAGGCGACUCACUGGCCCGAUACUGACGCUGAGGCGCGAAAGCGUGGGGAGCGAACAGG